rnacentral:rRNA from 1 species
UACGUAGGAUGCAAGCGUUGUCCGGAAUUAUUGGGCGUAAAGAGCGCGCAGGCGGUCUAUCAAGUCAGAUGUGAAAUAUCCCGGCUUAACCGGGAGGGGUCAUUUGAAACUGGUAGACUAGAGUACAGCAGAGGAUAGCGGAAUUCCCGGUGUAGUGGUGAAAUGCGUAGAUAUCGGGAGGAACACCAGUGGCGAAGGCGGCUAUCUGGGCUGAAACUGACGCUGAGGCGGCGAAGGCUAGGGAGCAAACGGG